rnacentral:tRNA from 1 species
CAGCGUUAUAGUUUAAUAUAGAAUAACAGCUUUGGGGGUUGUAGGUCUUUUGAAGGAAGUGGGCUGA